UACGGAGGGAGCAAGCGUUGUUUCGGAUUUACUGGGCGUAAAGGGCGCGUAGGCGGCGUGACAAGUCACUUGUGAAAUCUCCGGGCUUAACUCGGAACGGUCAAGUGAUACUGUCGUGCUAGAGUACAGAAGGGGCAACUGGAAUUCUCGGUGUAGCGGUGAAAUGCGUAGAUAUCGAGAGGAACACCUGGCGGCGAAGGCGGGUUGCUGGGCUGAUACUGACGCUGGAGGCGCGAAAAGCUAGGGGAGCGAACGGG
rnacentral:rRNA from 1 species